rnacentral:precursor_RNA from 8 species
CUCAUUUUGUUUAUAGGAAGUAGCUGGCUGAGCUAUGUCCAUCCGCCAUCCGUUGCAAUGAUCGGAUGUCAGCUGGACAUAUCACAGAAAGCUCUUCAAGUCGUCUAACGUAUGUG